AGCGUACACGGUGGAUGCCCUGGCAGUCAGAGGCGAUGAAGGACGUGCUAAUCUGCGAAAAGCGUCGGUAAGGUGAUAUGAACCGUUACAGCCGGCGAUGUCCGAAUGGGGAAACCCAGUGUGAUUCGUCACACUAUCGUUAACUGAAUACAUAGGUUAACGAGGCGAACCGGGGGAACUGAAACAUCUAAGUACCCCGAGGAAAAGAAAUCAACCGAGAUUCCCCCAGUAGCGGCGAGCGAACGGGGAGCAGCCCAGAGUCUGAAUCAGCUUGUGUGUUAGUGGAACGGUCUGGAAAGUCCGACGGUACAGGGUGAUAGUCCCGUACACCAAAAUGCACAGGCUGUGAACUCGAAGAGUAGGGCGGGACACGUGGUAUCCUGUCUGAAUAUGGGGGGACCAUCCUCCAAGGCUAAAUACUCCUGACUGACCGAUAGUGAACCAGUACCGUGAGGGAAAGGCGAAAAGAACCCCGGCGAGGGGAGUGAAAAAGAACCUGAAACCGUGUACGUACAAGCAGUGGGAGCACCUUCGGGUGUGACUGCGUACCUUUUGUAUAAUGGGUCAGCGACUUAUAUUCUGUAGCAAGGUUAACCGUAUAGGGGAGCCGCAGGGAAACCGAGUCUUAACUGGGCGUUAAGUUGCAGGGUAUAGACCCGAAACCCGGUGAUCUAGCCAUGGGCAGGUUGAAGGUUGGGUAACACUAACUGGAGGACCGAACCGACUAAUGUUGAAAAAUUAGCGGAUGACUUGUGGCUGGGGGUGAAAGGCCAAUCAAACCGGGAGAUAGCUGGUUCUCCCCGAAAGCUAUUUAGGUAGCGCCUCGUGAACUCAUCUUCGGGGGUAGAGCACUGUUUCGGCUAGGGGGUCAUCCCGACUUACCAACCCGAUGCAAACUACGAAUACCGAAGAAUGUUAUCACGGGAGACACACGGCGGGUGCUAACGUCCGUCGUGAAGAGGGAAACAACCCAGACCGCCAGCUAAGGUCCCAAAGUCAUGGUUAAGUGGGAAACGAUGUGGGAAGGCACAGACAGCCAGGAUGUUGGCUUAGAAGCAGCCAUCAUUUAAAGAAAGCGUAAUAGCUCACUGGUCGAGUCGGCCUGCGCGGAAGAUGUAACGGGGCUAAACCAUGCACCGAAGCUGCGGCAGCGACACUAUGUGUUGUUGGGUAGGGGAGCGUUCUGUAAGCCUGCGAAGGUGUGCUGUGAGGCAUGCUGGAGGUAUCAGAAGUGCGAAUGCUGACAUAAGUAACGAUAAAGCGGGUGAAAAGCCCGCUCGCCGGAAGACCAAGGGUUCCUGUCCAACGUUAAUCGGGGCAGGGUGAGUCGACCCCUAAGGCGAGGCCGAAAGGCGUAGUCGAUGGGAAACAGGUUAAUAUUCCUGUACUUGGUGUUACUGCGAAGGGGGGACGGAGAAGGCUAUGUUAGCCGGGCGACGGUUGUCCCGGUUUAAGCAUGUAGGCUGGUUAUCCAGGCAAAUCCGGAUAAUCAAGGCUGAGGUGUGAUGACGAGGCACUACGGUGCUGAAGUAACAAAUGCCCUGCUUCCAGGAAAAGCCUCUAAGCAUCAGGUAACAUCAAAUCGUACCCCAAACCGACACAGGUGGUCAGGUAGAGAAUACCAAGGCGCUUGAGAGAACUCGGGUGAAGGAACUAGGCAAAAUGGUGCCGUAACUUCGGGAGAAGGCACGCUGGUGUGUAGGUGAAGCCCCUGCGGGUGGAGCUGAGACCAGUCGAAGAUACCAGCUGGCUGCAACUGUUUAUUAAAAACACAGCACUGUGCAAACACGAAAGUGGACGUAUACGGUGUGACGCCUGCCCGGUGCCGGAAGGUUAAUUGAUGGGGUUAUCCGUAAGGAGAAGCUCUUGAUCGAAGCCCCGGUAAACGGCGGCCGUAACUAUAACGGUCCUAAGGUAGCGAAAUUCCUUGUCGGGUAAGUUCCGACCUGCACGAAUGGCGUAAUGAUGGCCAGGCUGUCUCCACCCGAGACUCAGUGAAAUUGAACUCGCUGUGAAGAUGCAGUGUACCCGCGGCAAGACGGAAAGACCCCGUGAACCUUUACUAUAGCUUGACACUGAACAUUGAGCCUUGAUGUGUAGGAUAGGUGGGAGGCUUUGAAGCGUGGACGCCAGUCUGCGUGGAGCCAACCUUGAAAUACCACCCUUUAAUGUUUGAUGUUCUAACGUUGGCCCCUUACCGGGGUUGCGGACAGUGUCUGGUGGGUAGUUUGACUGGGGCGGUCUCCUCCCAAAGCGUAACGGAGGAGCACGAAGGUUAGCUAAUCCUGGUCGGACAUCAGGAGGUUAGUGCAAUGGCAUAAGCUAGCUUGACUGCGAGCGUGACGGCGCGAGCAGGUGCGAAAGCAGGUCAUAGUGAUCCGGUGGUUCUGAAUGGAAGGGCCAUCGCUCAACGGAUAAAAGGUACUCCGGGGAUAACAGGCUGAUACCGCCCAAGAGUUCAUAUCGACGGCGGUGUUUGGCACCUCGAUGUCGGCUCAUCACAUCCUGGGGCUGAAGUAGGUCCCAAGGGUAUGGCUGUUCGCCAUUUAAAGUGGUACGCGAGCUGGGUUUAGAACGUCGUGAGACAGUUCGGUCCCUAUCUGCCGUGGGCGCUGGAGAAUUGAGGGGGGCUGCUCCUAGUACGAGAGGACCGGAGUGGACGCAUCACUGGUGUUCGGGUUGUCAUGCCAAUGGCACUGCCCGGUAGCUAAAUGCGGAAGAGAUAAGUGCUGAAAGCAUCUAAGCACGAAACUUGCCCCGAGAUGAGUUCU
rnacentral:rRNA from 1 species